rnacentral:misc_RNA from 1 species
AAGUCGUAACAAGGUAACCGUAGGUGAACCUGCGGUUGGAUCAUUAAAAAAUCUAAAAAUUUUAAUGAUUAAGAUCCCCCUUUUUUUUUUUUAUUAAAAAAAAAGGUGUUUCUUUUUCAAACACCAAUGUGAACUUAGCUGAUCCUUUCUCUGGUGAGUUCAAUUAAUUUCGGGAAAAAGUCUUCUUUCCCCCGGGAUUAAGGGCGCAAGCCACCUCAUCGUAUAACUUCAAAAACACCUGUUUCUACAAUUUUAAGUCAUUAUAAAACGCUUAUUUUAAUAAAAAACAACUUUUGACAACGGAUCUCUAGGCUCUU